UAUAGCUCAGUCGGUAGACCAUAAUACUCUUAAUCUAGGGGUUGUGGGUUCAAGCUCCACCUUGGGCAAAA